GAUGAACGCUGGCGGCGUGCUUAACACAUGCAAGUCGAACGGAAAGGCUCCUGCUUGCAGGGGUACUCGAGUGGCGAACGGGUGAGUAACACGUGGGUGAUCUGCCCUGCACUUCGGGAUAAGCCUGGGAAACUGGGUCUAAUACCGGAUAGGACCACAUUUUGGAUGGUGUGGUGGAAAGUUUUUCGGUGUGGGAUGAGCUCGCGGCCUAUCAGCUUGUUGGUGGGGUAAUGGCCUACCAAGGCGUCGACGGGUAGCCGGCCUGAGAGGGUGUACGGCCACAUUGGGACUGAGAUACGGCCCAGACUCCUACGGGAGGCAACAGUGGGGAAUAUUGCACAAUGGGCGCAAGCCUGAUGCAGCGACGCCGCGUGGGGGAUGACGGCCUUCGGGUUGUAAACUCCUUUCGCUAGGGACGAAGCGCAAGUGACGGUACCUGGAGAAGAAGCACCGGCUAACUACGU
rnacentral:rRNA from 1 species